GAGUGAGCAUUGUGCCCCAGCAUCUCAGAUGCUCUCACAGGACCGAGGGAGCAUCUGGAGUUCCACGGAUGCCUGUCAGCUGAUUGAGUCACUGUUUAUAGGCGGCAUUAGGCAGGUGUAUCAGUCAGCGCUGAGGAAGCAACACCAUGUGACAAGCUGCCCGGAUACCCUGGCUCACAAGGGGCACUUAUUCUCACGCUCGUGCAAUGAAUUUACCGAGUGUGUCUCACCCUCCUUGUCCUAUGGCCACCUGGCCUUGCCCCUCUGCUGUGAUGGAAUAUAAGAGACAAAGCCACAUGUGCAUGUGUUAAUGCAUCUGUUCUUGGGACAUCUGACAACAUUUGAUUGGCUGAUGGAAAUCUCAUCGAUGGGGCAGAAAACACAUUGGAAUCAUGCAGCUGGGGGAGCACACGCACGCCACAUGACAAAGGGUGUGUGUGCAGGUCUUCUCACAGAGGCAGACGGGACAGGACCAGAGACCCCAUCUGUCUACCUGGGCAGGGAGGAAAAGGGGGCCAGGUCCAGCAAGCACCCUUGCUUCCUUCUGCUCUGGUUGCACCUGAAUUUUAUAUACACUAAUCCCUGCAGCCCAUCUUAGCAGAGUUGUGAGAUGCUGAUAAAAAUCCGAGGAUGAACAAACUUCAGGAGCUGGCUUCGGAAGACCAGGCCUCUGACCUCAGAGCUUCUGUUAGAUCAGGAAUCCUGAUGCCUCGCUGUGUCCUUGGGAUCCUGCUGGGCACUGUGGGCAAUGCCACGCUGACUGCAGCUGCUUCCUGCCCCUUCCCUUUCCAGGGGCAGCUACCCAGUUGGGGAGGGAGGGCUUGAGCCGCAGCUCUGUAUGUGCUUUUGCGAGGGGAAUGUCCCAGGCCAGGGUUGACCAGGUGUCCCAGAGGGCAGGGCUGCUCCCCACCUCAUUGUGCCCUGGGGCAGCCUCAUCCAUGAGGUUGGGAGGGUGACUGUUUCGGGACCACCGAGGUUGGUGCCUGAUUGCUGAAGAAAGUCAGGUUUUCAAGAGUCUCCGGCUAAGUGCGGGAGAUGCUCUGGGUCCCAGAUGUGGUGUGAACUUCCUUCCUGUGCAGACCCUAAUGGUCAGGAGCUCCAUGCUCAAUUCCUGUAUUUUAUGACCUUAUUAUAGAACCUGAUGUUUAUUGGCUUUGAAAGUCAGCCAUUUGGAAUAUUCUGAGAUGACGGAUCCAGGAGUUUCCCAGCCUCCUCUCCUUUUCUCACUCCUGCCAGACCCAGCAGGAUGGCCUCAACCUUCAGCCUCUGGCAGCCUCGUCUGUGAGGCCAUCUAGGUGAUGUGCCCCAGCCAUCACAAGGGAUUUCUGCCCCAGGCACGUGGACCAUUGGGAUGACAUCUUCCUGAGAAGGCCCGGGCGGCCCUGGCCUGUGAGUGGCCUUAGCCCCAUGGAGACCCCAGCAGAGCCCUGCUGGGCAGGAGGCCAUGCAGCCAGCAGAUGCUCCCUGUGGUGCCCACAGCCCCGUGCGCCCAGUGAGGGUGCCUGCUGUCCAGGAUGACAGCCUUGUGUUAACAAUUAACUCAGACUUUGAACACGAGCUUGGUAAACGUUGUGCUGAGUCGGAAGGCCUGGAGACAAACACACAGGUUUUACCAGAUGGCACGCUGGCAUCGCAAUGGUCCGUAAAUCUGAGUCUUCUUCUGUUGUUCACUGUGGUUCUCCCGGACCCCCAGACAGCACCUUAGUCUUCAUUCUCUGCCAAGUCCUGCAAAAUGGAUGUUAAGAGGUCGUGAGGGAUUUGGCGUCACCAGGUUGAAGCUGGGGCUGUUCCAGAAGCUUGGAUAGACAGGCGGACGGAAGAACCCCGGGGUUCGAGUCUCCCUCGAAGUUCCCAGCAGGGAGCGGCGGCCCCACAGCCCUGCGCGUGGGGAGAAGUUGCUGUCCUGUGCACGUGCCUUGAAGAGCUGAGAUUCAAACGUCGAACUGCAACACAUGGAAGCUGACUCUGCCCUUCAGACGCCCGUCUCCCUCUGCUCCUGCUCCCUUGCCGCAGGCAACUCCGGAAUUCUCGAUGUGCCGAUGUGCCGGGGUGGCCGACCUGACCUUGAGCUGGUGUUUGGGAAUCCUUGUCCCAGGGAUGCUGGAUCAUUCCGGGAGUGGAGGGGCAGCGAGAGUCCAGCGGGAGGAGGAGGCCCCCGUUUCUGGGUGGUGGUCCAGGGGCCCACUGCCCUGCGUCUGUGGGAAGGCCCCCUUAUUCUGUUUUCUGUGCCUUUUGCAGCCAGAUCUCUGUCUGGGACCCUGUGCUCGUGUCCUGGGGAUGGACGGUCUGCGGGAACCAUGUGCAGGGUCCCCGGAGCCCUGGGAGCAUCACAGCGGCCGUCUGUGCAUCUCUCCAGGACAACCUGCCCGGCCCAGACACCGUGCCCUCAGUCAGUCAGUUCAGUCGCUCAGUCGUGUCCCACUGUAUGUGACCCCAUGAAUCGCAGCACGCCAGGCCACUCAGACUCACGUCCAUUGAGUCAGUGAUGCC